rnacentral:rRNA from 1 species
GAUGAACGCUGACAGCAUGCUUAACACAUGCAAGUCGAUGGGGAAGUGGUGCUUGCACCAUGGCAACCAUGGCGGACGGGUGAGUAACGCGUAAGGGACUUACCUGCAGGACUGGGAUAACAGGGGGAAACUCCUGACAAGACCGGAUAAUGUCAUGGAGCUGCAUGGCUUUAUGAUGAAAGGAGACGCCUGCGGAGAGACUUGCGUCCUAUUAGCUAGUUGGUGAGGUAAUGGCUCACCAAGGCGAAGAUAGGUAGCCGGCCUGAGAGGGUGGACGGCCACAAGGGGACUGAGAUACGGCCCUUACUCCUACGGGAGGCAGCAGUGGGGAAUAUUGGACAAUGGGGGCAACCCUGAUCCAGCAAUUCUGUGUGCACGAAGAAGGUUUUCGGAUUGUAAAGUGCUUUCAGCAGGGAAGAAGUAAGUGACGGUACCUGCAGAAGAAGCGACGGCUAAAUACGUG